rnacentral:rRNA from 1 species
AAUCAUCCGACACAACGACGCUGUAUGGUGAAUGGCUUGGCUUGGUAUGGCGAAGAAGGGCGCGGUAAGCUGCGAUAAGCUCCGGGGAGGCGCAAGCAUCCUUCGAUCCGGAGAUUCCCGAAUGGAGUCCAAUCUAAGAGGACUGCCGCAAGGCAUCCUCUUGUUCCGCAAGGAACGCAAACCCUGGGGAAGGAAACAUCUGAGUACCAGGAGGAAGAGAAAUCAAUUGAGAUCCCGUUAGUAGGGGCGACCCAAAGCGGGACAGUCCAAACCGAAUCUUUGCCCGAAAGGGCCGAGAGAUGUGGGGUUCGCCUUAGCAUAUGCAACCCUGGACUCGUGCGGUCGAACUUGCCUGGAAAGGCAGACAAAACAAGGUGAUAGUCCUGUAGACUGUUCGAGAACGAGGUUGUGCGAAAGGCAGAGUACCGGGCUUUGGCAGUGGCUCGGGAAGGCGGGGGAAAGCAGCCCCCAAGACUAAACACAAACCAAGACCGAUAGAGCACUAGUACCGCGAGGGAAAGCUGAAAAGUACCCCGAAAGGGGUGUGCAAAGAGCCUGAAACCAUCCAGCUACAGACGUUCAGGGCAUGAAAGAGGUAUGAUUCCAUCGCGAUCACCCGCAAGGGAGGUCAAGGUGGGUUAAGUGCCUCAGUGUCCUGAGUUCCGUCUAGAAACACGGGCCGGGGAGUUAUCUGUCAUGGCGAGCCUAAGGGUUCAAAGCCCGGAGGCGAAGCGAAAGCGAUUCUGCGUAACCUCGCAAGAGGCCUGGCAGGAGGUCUGAAAGGGCCUUAAAGUCAUGGCGGAUUAGACUAGAAACCGAUCGAUCGUGGCCAGAACAAGUUGAAGCCGGGCGAAAGCCUGGUCGAGGACUGCAAGGGUCUUAACGUGCAAUUUAGUCCCCUGAUUCUGGCCAAGGGGCCAAAAGCCUAUCUAGUUCGGUGAUUGCUAGUUCCCACCGAAGCGGAUCCCAGUCCUGUCUCCACCGAGGUAGUUGACGUUGUAGAGCACCAACGAGAAAACAAGGAUUCGAAAGGAUCCACUUUCUUCUUGAACUCCGAAUGUGUCAACGCCGUAGACGUGGGGAGGCGGGUUUAUGUGGGGUAAGCCUCAUAACCGAGAGGGGGUUAACCCAGACUAGAGUUAAGGUCCCCAAAUUUUGGCUAAGUGUCAAGCAAAAGGGAGUCUUCGACCUAAAACAGCAGGGAGGUAAGCUUAGAAGCAGCUAUCCUUCAAAGAAAGCGUAACAGCUCACCUGCCGAGGUUGAGGGCCCCGAAAAUGGACGGGGCUAAAGCCAAGUACCGAUACUCUGGGCAACCGCAUUGUAUGCGGUUUGCGGUAGAUGGGCGUGGUGAUUGGGUAGAAGCUGGGCCGUGAGGUCCAGUGGACCGAUCUCCAGUGCAGAUCCCGGUAGUAGUAGCAGCGUAGUCGGGUGAGAAUCCUGACCGCCGAAAGGACACGGUUUUCCUGGCAAUGCGUCAUCAGCCAGGAGUUAGCCGAUCCUAAGAUCAAACUCAACAGUAUUGGUCGAAUGAGGGAAUGCGGUUAAUAUUCCGCAGCCUUUGGUAUUUCGGAAAUCCGUAAGGAAACAUCACCUCUGCAGCUUCAAGACGAGCCUUACAGAGUUAUUCGCUCUGUUUAAUCAUCCAAGGGGGAGGGAGUGUCGUAAUGACGAGAACUCCUCCGAGGGGAGAAUAGCGGCCCGUUGGGGUCGUUAGGCCAAUUCCUGGAGACAGUGAAAACAGAGGAGUGAUAGAGAUACUGAAGAUCGUACCUAGAUCCGACACCAGUGAUCCUAGGUGAGAAGCCUAAGGCGUGUCGGGGAACUGUAGGUAAGGGAACUCGGCAAAUUAGCCACGUAAGUUAGCGAUAAGUGGUGCCUGCGUUCUUAGUGUAGAACUGGGAUCGCAGGUUGCAAUAACGAGGGGGUCCCGACUGUUUAAUAAAAACACAGUAAACUGCAAGCCCGAAAGGGUGUGUACAGUUUAUGAAUCCUGGCCAGUGCAGGUACCUAAAACCUGGGUUCAACUGGGCUAAGGGCCUGUAAACGCCGGGAGUAACUCUGACUCUCAGCAAGAAAACAGUAAGGGAGUCGCUAAAUCUGGCCGUAUGCUGGAACAUCUGAGAAUGCCAGGCUAGUCCCCGUGGACUGACAAUGCCAUGGCUGCAGACAAUCAGCAGGAAAGCCUGGACACGAUGAACGAAAGUUUGUCCAGAAUCCUCAGAGACUAUACGCCAGAGGUCGCCCGCUAGCGACCAUGAUAUAGUCCGAGCCUCAGAGCGAUCUGAGGAGAUUCGCGCUCUAAACCAAUGGGUUCGGAGCAGGAAUCCGCCUCUAUUUUUGAAAAAGAGGUCAGAAAAGUAACAGAUUGCUUAAGGUAGCCAAAUGCCUUGUCGGGUGAGUUCCGACGUGCAUGAAUGGACCAACGAGGGCCCCGCUGUCCCUAUCUACGACCCGGCGAACCUACGUAAGCUGGACGAACAGUCCAGCAACUUCCAUCGGGGAGAGAAGUCCCUGUGGAGCUUUACUGCAGCUUGUUGCUGCGAUUCGGUUGCGGUUGCAGAGUGUAACGGGUAGACGUCGAAGCGUCAGCUCCGGCUGACGUGGAGUCAACAAUGUAACACCCGUCCCUCGCGACUGUAUCGCUAACUCCUCCGGGAGGACACCGGCAGGUGGGCAGUUCGGCUGGGGCGGCACCCCCUUGAAAAGAUAUCGAGGGGGCCCAAAGGUUGGCUCAACUGGGUCAGAACUCCAGUGUUGAGGGCAAGGCCAAAAGCCAGCCUGACAGGAAACUUAAACGCAGAGUUUUCUGCCACGAAAGUGUGGCCUAGCGAUCAUUCGAGUCCCCACUGUUGGGGGCCGGAUGUGACAGAAAAGUUACCCCAGGGGUAACAGGCUCGUCGCGGGCGAGAGCUCCAAUCGACCCCGCGGUUUGGUACCUUAACUAAAAAUUGGGGUAAAACCGCAGUAAUGUCGGUUUCAGCAUUGGCUUAUAACGGCGAACUCCUCCUUCCGUCGGAACACUGAGGAAAACGGGAGAGG